rnacentral:rRNA from 1 species
GAGGGGUGCAAGCGUUGCUCGGAAUUAUUGGGCGUAAAGGGUUGGUAGGUGGUCUUGUUUGUCUGAGGUGAAAUCCCGUGGCUUAACUGCGGAAGUGCCUUAGAAACGGCAAGACUAGAGUCCUAGAGGGGUUUGUGGAAUUCCCGGUGUAGCGGUGAAAUGCGUAGAGAUCGGGAGGAACACCAGCAGCGAAGGCGGCAAACUGGAUAGGCACUGACACUGAACAACGAAAGCGUGGGUAGCAAACAGGAUUAGAUACCCUGGUAGUCCACGCCGUAAACGAUGGGUACUAGGCUUUAUGGGAAUUGACCCCUGUAGAGCCGGAGCUAACGCGAUAAGUACCCCGCCUGGGAAGUACGGUCGCAAGACUA